AUUGUGAACUCAACUUUAAACAUGAUUAAAUGGCCACGUGAUGUACAAUUAAUUUGUUUAUUAUGUGCAAAAGUGUAAACAUCUGCAGGCCAAAAAAUAAUUCGAUAAUGUACAGAGAGGAAAAAAGCACAAACCUAUUGUUGCUGAAUUGUAUACUAAAUGUGUGCAUUUGCGUGUCGGUAUAGCUUGCGGCAACAGAGAAAAUGGCUCCAUUCUGUAAACUGCUCCUGCCUCCAAAUGACAAACAACUUUAAAUUCUUUUUCCACUUUACGAACUGCCGGAGGUGACAAUUGUUCAAGCCAAAUCGAUUCAUGAUCCAAGAUGAAAUAAAUUUGGUCGAGCUUCCACAGCAUCUCUAAGGGGUAGAGCUUUAGAUCCAAAAUCGGAAUAUUUUACUUUUUCAUUUAUCUCCAGUUCUUGUGGAAGACUCUCCACCGAAUCACGUUGAAAAUUUAAAAUAU